rnacentral:rRNA from 1 species
GAUGAACGCUAGCUACAGGCUUAACACAUGCAAGUCGAGGGGCAUCACAGUGUAGCAAUACACGGGUGGCGACCGGCGCACGGGUGCGUAACACGUAUCCAAUCUGCCCGUUACUCGGGGAUAGCCUUCUGAAAGGAAGAUUAAUACCCGAUGGCAUGUAUUUCCGGCAUCGGAGAUACAUUAAAGAUUUAUCGGUAACGGAUGAGGAUGCGUACGAUUAGCUGGUUGGCGGGGUAACGGCCCACCAAGGCGACGAUCGUUAGGGGUUCUGAGAGGAAGGUCCCCCACACUGGAACUGAGACACGGUCCAGACUCCUACGGGAGGCAGCAGUGAGGAAUAUUGGUCAAUGGGCGCGAGCCUGAACCAGCCAAGUAGCGUGAAGGAUGACUGCCCUACGGGUUGUAAACUUCUUUUGUUUGGGAAUAAAUGAUACUACGUGUAGUAUUUUGCAUGUACCUUACGAAUAAGCAUCGGCUAAUUCCGUGCCAGCAGCCG